AGUGCAGAAUGUUGCAGCUUGCUUAAGAAUCAUUGUGUACUCUUUCAACUAUUCAAUUGAUCUUUUUUACUAUCUUGCUAGACAUUGGGUCGACCUGUAUCCUUGCAUAAAUAUAUUUCAUUUGGAGAACAAGAGUUCCAGCUAAGUAUAAAUUUUUGGUUUCGGCUUCUACUGCAUGGUAGAUGCUAGCUGGACAAUGGCAGGCACCACAAACAUAUUUUUCGGGACAAGUUAUUGGGCUUUAUGUGCUCAAGACAGGGAGAUAGUUGAACAACUGAUCCUGCAUUCCUCAUCAAUCAGCGAAGAAGUCUGGUUCAGAGUUCAUACUGCUCUGGAUGGCAGGUCAGCAUAUCCGAACACCUAUGACUGAAACCUCAUUCGCGCAGUGGUGGAUGAAGGAGAAGUGAAGGAGCUGAUUCACAUUCUUCAACGUGUUCAUACAGUCAGUGGUAGAGCUUCAUGUCAAAUUCAAAGGCAUCCAACACUUAUUUUGAGAUUAAAUCACUGAAGAUUUCCUAAAGAGAAGGUGUCAACAAGAUUUGCUCCUGAAGGAUCAAAGCAUACUCCUCACUUCUCACCAAUCAUGGGACUUUAGUGGAAGGGGCAAUAGAGUACUGACCCCU